UUUUCUAUUUUCUGCCCUCUUCAUUUUUUCUAUUUUCUAUUUUUCUUUUUUCUAUUCUUCUUUUUUCUAUUUUCUAUUUUUUCUAUUUUCUGCCCUCUUCAUUUUUUUCUAUUUUCUUUUUUCUAUUCUUCUAUUUUUCUUUUUUCUAUUUUCUUCUUUUUUUUUCUGUUUUCUAUUUUCUUUUUUCUAUUUUCUGCCCUCUUCUUUUUUCUAUUUUCUUUUUUCUAUUUUCUGCCCUCUUCAUUUUUUCUAUUCUUUUCCCUCUUCUUUUUUUUUUUUUCCUAUUUUUUCUGUUUUCUCCUCCUUUUUGCCUAUUAUUUGCUCUUUUUCUUUGCUCUACUUUCUCCUCUUUUCCUAUUUUCUGCUUCCUCUUCGGCUCCACACCCUCCGGCUGGCGGCUUGUGAAAAGCCCCGUUUUCCCCUGAUCCUGCACCAAAAAUCUCCGCUCACCCUGCCGGGCCCGCGGCCGCCUGCGCUCCUCCGGGCUCUUCUUUCCGAAAUCUUCCCGUUUUCCUCCUCCUAA
rnacentral:lncRNA from 1 species